UUAAACAAGAUCGGAGAGAUCCGAGACAUACACCUGUCCCUAUCUACUAUCUAGCGAAACCACAGCCAAGGGAACGGGCUUGGAAUAAUUAGCGGGGAAAGAAGACCCUUUUGAGCUUGACUCUAAUCUGGCAGUGUAAGGAGACAUAAGAGGUGUAGAAUAAGUGGGAGAUAUUAGACUUCGGUUUGGUAUCGCCAAUGAAAUACCACUACUCUUAUUGUUUCCUUACUUACUUGAUUAAAUGGAACGUGUAUCAUUUCCUAGCCAUUAUACGGAUAUAUUUAUUAUAUCUUAUGGUAUUGGGUUUUGAUGCAAGCUUCUUGAUCAAAGUAUCACGAGUUUGUUAUAUAAUCGCAAACAAAUUCUUUAAUGAGAGAUGCAUUUACUGUAUUAUUGAUUUGAAAAUUUGGUAUAACUCCAAUUACUCAGGUAUGAUCCAAUUCAAGGACAUUGCCAGGUAGGGAGUUUGACUGGGGCGGUACAUCUCUCAAAUAAUAACGGAGGUGUCCCAAGGCCAGCUCAGUGCGGACAGAAACCACACAUAGAGCAAAAGGGCAAAUGCUGACUUGAUCUCGGUGUUCAGUACACACAGGGAC
rnacentral:ncRNA from 1 species